rnacentral:rRNA from 1 species
AGGACGAACGCUGGCGGCGUGCUUAACACAUGCAAGUCGAGCGGUAAGGCCCUUUCGGGGGUACACGAGCGGCGAACGGGUGAGUAACACGUGGGUGACCUGCCCUUAGCUCUGGGAUAAGCCUGGGAAACUGGGUCUAAUACCGGAUAUGACCUCGCGAUGCAUGUCGUGGGGUGGAAAGCCUUGUGCGGCUAGGGAUGGGCCCGCGGCCUAUCAGCUUGUUGGUGGGGUGAUGGCCUACCAAGGCGACGACGGGUAGCCGGCCUGAGAGGGCGACCGGCCACACUGGGACUGAGACACGGCCCAGACUCCUACGGGAGGCAGCAGUGGGGAAUCUUGCGCAAUGGGCGAAAGCCUGACGCAGCGACGCCGCGUGAGGGAUGACGGCCUCGGGUUGUAAACCUCUUCAGCCCUGACGAAGCGAAAGUGACGGUAGGGCGAGAAGAAGCACCGGCCAACUACGCGCCAGCAGCCGCGGUAA